UAUUUAGAAAUGUUUGUUUAAUUACAAUCAUGCUAUUUGGUUUAGUACCAGUGACUUGUUACUUAACGACUUUGCUAGUACUUUUUGAAACAUAAAGUUAGAUUUUAACUAACUUUAAUUUUUAACUACUAUAGGUGGAAUUAUAAAUACAAAAUAAUUGAUAAUACUAGUUUAUUAUUAAGUACCUAAUUAUUAGUAUCUUAAAAAAUAUAUUUAUACAAAAAUCACGAUAAUCAUAAAAGUGGGGAAAUUCUAUAUUCUCGAGUCAAUUCACAAUCUUUAUGGAAGUAUAAACGAUAAGCAUUCAGGAAGAGCGAUAAUAUCAGCAUUAUGCUCUUUCGCGCUGGAAAUGUAGGAAACUGCCCGCUCUACAUUUUUGCUUUUUACUUCAUUUACUUGAAGUUGUACCAACGCCAAGCGAAAUGCUAAAAUGUUGGAAAAAUUAAAUACACUCGGUUAUAUAUUUCCCAUACUUUUUACCUAUAAAUACUUUAUACAUAGUGAAUAUACUUACUCGACAUCGUUCGCACUACUUGUUUAGCGAUGUUCGUAAGUAUCAUAAUGUUCUUUGAGGUUAUGUAUGUAUACUACUCGAUAUCAACAUUACGUAAACAAUACGCGGGGAUUUUUAAUAAUUAUUGAUAAAGUUUAGGACAUUAACUUUGAUGUAAUUGUAAACAUUAUUACAUAUUAUAAUUAAAUGUAAUUUUCAGUUAAGGGUAAGAAAAGAAAUAUAAUAUUUUGUAAAAAUACACUUUAUUAUAAAAUCUGUAUAAAUAAAAUUGUACAAUUUAUCUUGAAAGUAAAAUGACCGAAUACGUCCCUGGAAAAUA